rnacentral:rRNA from 1 species
UACGUAGGCAGCAAGCGUUGUUCGGAAUUACUGGGCGUAAAGAGUGUGUAGGCGGUGCUCUAAGUUCGGUGUGAAAUCUCCUGGCUUAACUGGGAGGGUGCGCCGGAAACUGGAGUGCUCGAGCGUGGGAGAGGAAAGCGGAAUUCCUGGUGUAGAGGUGAAAUGCGUAGAUAUCAGGAGGAACACCUGCGGUGUAGACGGCUUUCUGGACCAUAGCUGACGCUGAGACACGAAAGCGUGGGUAGCAAACAGG